rnacentral:rRNA from 1 species
ACGUAGGGUCCAAGUGUUAAUCGGAAUUACUGGGCGUAAAGCGUGCGCAGGCGGUUGUGCAAGACCGAUGUGUAAUCCCCGGGCUUAACCUGGGAAUUGCAAUGGUGACUGCACGGCUAGAGUGUGUCAGAGGGGGAUAGAAUUCCCCGUGGAGCAGUGGAAUGCUUAGAGAUGUGGAGGAAUACCGAUGGCGAAUGCAGCACCCUGGGAUAACUCUGCCGCUCAUUCACGAAAGCGUGUGGAGCAAACAG